AAUCAACGCUGGCGGCGUGCCUAACACAUGCAAGUCGAACGAGAAAGUGGGAGCAAUCCUGCGAGUACAGUGGCAGACGGGUGAGUAACACGUGAACAACCUGCCUUCGAGUGGGGAAUAACACCGCGAAAGCGGUGCUAAUACCGCAUAACAUCCCUGGGGCGCAUGUUCCGGGGAUCAAGGACGAAAGUCGCUUGAAGAGGGGUUCGCGCCUGAUUAGCUAGUUGGUGAGGUAACGGCCCACCAAGGCGACGAUCAGUAGCCGGCCUGAGAGGGCGAACGGCCACACUGGAACUGAGACACGGUCCAGACUCCUACGGGAGGCAG
rnacentral:rRNA from 1 species